rnacentral:pre_miRNA from 1 species
GGCACGUCGUCCCCCUCAGCCCACCAGAGCCCGGAUACCUCAGAAAUUCGGCUCUGGGUCUGUGGAGGAGCGAAAUGCAA